AAAAAAUGAAGCGAAUAUAUAGUCUAUAUUAUAUAAGCCUUGGGGGUUGGGGAAGAAAGAGUCAAUGUUAGUGAAACAUGCUAGCAUUUUUGCAGCGAUGGAGGACAUCGAUCUAAGUGGAAUGAAACCAGAAAUAUAAUACUAGAUCAACUCAAUAAUAUAUAUUUAUAAUUAAUUUGUGAAAAAGGUAGUAACAAUCAUUUAAACCUUUUUUCAAAAAAAAAAAACAAUCAUUUAGUAAAAAAAAAAUAGUAACAAUCAGUAAAUAAAAUAUUUUUAAAAAGAGAUGGAGAGUACGACGUAGUAAAAGAGAUGUCAGGACGUGAUUGACCAAAUUUACAAGGGUGACUUUCGAGACAGCACGAGAGGCAAUCUCAAGAGUGAAGACGUGGGAAAUUUUCUCCACUUCUGUGCUGUGUUUAUCUCCAAAUACCAUUCCCC
rnacentral:lncRNA from 1 species